rnacentral:rRNA from 1 species
UACGUAGGUGGCAAGCGUUGUCCGGAAUUAUUGGGCGUAAAGCGCGCGCAGGCGGCCUCCUAAGUCCGAUGUGAAAGCCCACGGCUCAACCGUGGAGGGUCAUUGGAAACUGGGGGACUUGAGUGCAGGAGAGAAGAGUGGAAUUCCACGUGUAGCGGUGAAAUGCGUAGAGAUGUGGAGGAACACCAGUGGCGAAGGCGACUCUUGGGACGUUACUGACGCUGAGACGCGAAAGCGUGGGGAGCAAACAGG